UACAGAGGGUGCAAGCGUUGUUCGGAAUUAUUGGGCGUAAAGGGCGCGUAGGCGGUGCGGUAAGUCUGCGGUGAAAUCUCCCGGCUCAACUGGGAGUCUGCCGUGGAAACUGCCGUGCUUGAGUAUGGGAGAGGUAAGCGGAAUUCCUGGUGUAGCGGUGAAAUGCGUAGAUAUCAGGAGGAACACCUGCGGUGUAGACGGCUUACUGGACCAUAAACUGACGCUGAGGCACGAAAGCGUGGGUAGCAAACAGG
rnacentral:rRNA from 1 species